rnacentral:rRNA from 1 species
GACGGGUGAGUAACGCGUGAGAAUCUGGCUCUAGGUUCGGGACAACCACUGGAAACGGUGGCUAAUACCGGAUGUGCCGAGAGGUGAAAGGCUAGCUGCCUAGAGAAGAGCUCGCGUCUGAUUAGCUAGAUGGUGGGGUAAGAGCCUACCAUGGCGACGAUCGGUAGCUGGUCUGAGAGGACGAUCAGCCACACUGGGACUGAGACACGGCCCAGACUCCUACGGGAGGCAGCAGUGGGGAAUUUUCCGCAAUGGGCGAAAGCCUGACGGAGCAAUACCGCGUGAGGGAGGAAGGCUCUUGGGUUGUAAACCUUUUUUCAGGGAAGAAAAUUGACGGUACCUGAGGAAUCAGCAUCGGCUAACUCCGUGCCAGCAGCCGCGGUAAUACGGAGGAUGCAAGCGUUAUCCGGAAUGAUUGGGCGUAAAGCGUCCGUAGGUGGUGAUACAAGUCUAUUGUCAAAGCCUCUGGCUCAACCAGAGCAAGGCAGUGGAAACUGUAGAACUAGAGUGCAUUCGGGGCAGGGGGAAUUCCUGGUGUAGCGGUGAAACCCGUAGAGAUCAGGAAGAACACCGGGGCG